CAACCUGCCCACCACUUGGGGAUAACCUUGCGAAAGUAAGACUAAUACCCAAUGAUAUCUCUAGAAGACAUCUGAAAGAGAUUAAAGAUUUAUCGGUGAUGGAUGGGGAUGCGUCUGAUUAGCUUGUUGGCGGGGUAACGGCCCACCAAGGCGACGAUCAGUAGGGGUUCUGAGAGGAAGGUCCCCCACAUUGGAACUGAGACACGGUCCAAACUCCUACGGGAGGCAGCAGUGAGGAAUAUUGGUCAAUGGACGAGAGUCUGAACCAGCCAAGUAGCGUGCAGGAUGACGGCCCUAUGGGUUGUAAACUGCUUUUAUAAGGGAAUAAAGUGAGUCUCGUGAGACUUUUUGCAUGUACCUUAUGAAUAAGGACCGGCUAAUUCCGUGCCAGCAGCCGCGGUAAUACGGAAGGUCCGGGCGUUAUCCGGAUUUAUUGGGUUUAAAGGGAGCGUAGGCCGGAGAUUAAGCGUGUUGUGAAAUGUAGACGCUCAACGUCUGCACUGCAGCGCGAACUGGUUUCCUUGAGUACGCACAAAGUGGGCGGAAUUCGUGUGUAGCGGUGAAAUGCUUAGAUAUCACGAAGAACUCCGAUUG
rnacentral:rRNA from 1 species